rnacentral:rRNA from 1 species
AACGAACGCUGGCGGCAGGCUUAACACAUGCAAGUCGAACGCAUCCUUCGGGGUGAGUGGCAGACGGGUGAGUAACGCGUGGGAACGUGCCCUUCAGUUCGGGAUAACCCAGGGAAACUUGGGCUAAUACCGGAUACGUUCGAGAGCAGGAAGAUUUAUCGCUGAAGGAUCGGCCCGCGUCUGAUAGCUAGUUGGUGGGGUAAUGGCCCACCAAGGCGACGAUCAGUAGCUGGUCUGAGAGGAUGAUCAGCCACAUUGGGACUGAGACACGGCCCAAACUCCUACGGGAGGCAGCAGUGGGGAAUAUUGGACAAUGGGCGCAAGCCUGGUCCAGCCAUGCCGCGUGAGUGAUGAAGGCCUUAGGGUUGUAAAGCUCUUUCGUCCGGGACGAUAAUGACGGUACCGGAAGAAGAAGCCCCGGCUAACUUCGUGCCAGCAGCCGCGGUAA